UGCUAUUAUUUGGAGAUACAUAUAUAGUGAAAUGAAAUGCAGACUAUAGUAAAAAAUUUAGGAUAGUAGUCAAAUAACAGUUUCAAGUAGAUUCCUUUGUAGAGGGAGAGAAGGGAAAGUGAUAAGGAGACAGGAUUUAGUUGAGUGAAUAGAGUGUUUUUCAUGAAAAUAAUCUGAGCAAACAUAAAAUGUUAAUUAUCUUUUAAAUUCUAGUGACAGUUUUUGGUUUUCUGUUAUUCCUUGGAUUUUUAUCUAAGCUUGAAAUAUAUCCUAAUUUUAAAAAAUUUUAAGGGUGAACUUAAGUUUGACUAAAAUUUGCUUCAAAGGUAAAUGGAAGGUGAAUGUUAAAAACAAGAAAGAAACAUAAGUGUGGGGCUCUGGAGGGCAUUGGAAGCCAUGGUAAGGAGUUUGGGCUUUGUUUCAUGGACAAGUGUGUGUAUCAGUUUCCUGUGGCUGCUGUAAAAACUUAUCACAAACUGAUGGCUUAAAACAACUGAAAUUUAUUCUCCCAGAGUUGUGGAGGCUUGAAGUCCAAAUCCAGGUGCUGGCAGGGCUACACUCUUUCUUGGAAUUUAGGAAGAGUCUGUUCUUUGCCACUCCCAGUUUCUGCGGGCUUGUGGUUGUAUAACUCCAGUUCUUUGAAUCUGUAUCACAUGGACUUUUGUGUCUGUGUGUCUCUUAUAAAAGAUACUUGUCAUUGAAUUUAGGGCCAGAACAUAUAAUCCAGACAGGACAAUCUGAAGAUCCUCAAUUAUAUCUGCUUAAACCAUUUUUCCAAAUAAUGUCAUAUUCACAGGUUCCAGGGACUAGGAUGUGGAAAUAUCUUUGGGGGGGCACUCCCCCCUACCUCAGGAUAAAUGACAAUAUUGGGUUUAUUUCUGGCACAUACCUGUGGCUAUAGGAUGGAAGAUGAACUUGGAGAUUUAUUUACCUGGUAUAACAAUAAAAGGAAUUUCAGAAAAGGGAAUUCAUAGGACUCGGUAAUUAGGAAUGGAAGAGAGAGAAGUUAAGGUUGACUUGCAGAUUUAGCUGUACUAAUUUGAUAGAUGAAACAGAGGCAUCUGCUGUUUCUUAUGGGUCAGAUUUUGGUAGUAAGGAAUAGCUCUCUUUUGGAUGUAAUAAUUAAGUGUUUGGAAUAUGUGGUACUCAGUACUCUGUUGGAUGUAUUUCUGGGUUGGAGAGAAUAGAUUUUAUAGUGAUGAGCCUAUACCUGCUAAAUGCAGCCAUGAGAGAAAUUGGCCUUGUUACAGAUCCAUGAGGGACAAACAACAAUGUUUAAAGCAAAGUAAAGAAAAAAGCUUUUUGUAAAAUACUGAAAGGGUAUGGUCAGAGAAAAAGAAGAAAACCAUGAGACUGGUACCAAAGAGGAAGAUCAUUCAUAAACAUAGGGCAGUUUUUUCCUGA